rnacentral:tRNA from 1 species
GCAGCCGUGGCCUACUGGUUAGCGCUUCGGCUUGUAACCGGAGGGCUGCCGGUUCGAACCCCGACCAGUAGGA